GUAGGUGGCAAGCGUUGUCCGGAAUUAUUGGGCGUAAAGCGCGCGCAGGCGGUUCUUUAAGUCUGAUGUGAAAGCCCACGGGCUCAACCGUGGAGGGUCAUUGGAAACUGGAGAACUUGAGUACAGAAGAGGAAAGCGGAAUUCCACGUGUAGCGGUGAAAUGCGUAGAGAUGUGGAGGAACACCAGUGGCGAAGGCGGCUUUCUGGUCUGUAACUGACGCUGAGGCGCGAAAGCGUGGGGAGCAAACAGGAUUAGAUACCCCGGUAGUCCACGCCGUAAACGAUGAGUGCUAAGUGUUAGGGGGUUUCCGCCCCUUAGUGCUGCAGCUAACGCAUUAAGCACUCCGCCUGGGGAGUACGGCCGCAAAGGCUG
rnacentral:rRNA from 1 species